rnacentral:rRNA from 1 species
CUGCUGCCUCCCGUAGGAGUCUGGUCCGUGUCUCAGUACCAGUGUGGGGGACCUUCCUCUCAGAACCCCUACGCAUCGUCGGUUAGGUGGGCCGUUACCCCGCCUACUGCCUAAUGCGCCGCAUGCCCAUCCCUGUCCGGCCGAAGCCUUUCCUGCCUCCGGGAUGCCCCGGUGGCAUGUACGCGGGUUCACGCCCGUCCGUUUCGGGUCGGGUUCCGUCCCCUCGACGGAGGGCGUAGGUUGCAUACGUGUUACUCCACCGUGCGGCCGGUCCGGCCGGGCGGAAAG